GGGCCGUUAGCUCAGUGGUAGAGCGGGAGCCUUUUAAGCUCCGCGCCGAAGGUUCGAUCCCUUCACGGCUCA
rnacentral:tRNA from 1 species